GGAUGUGAUUUCACCACUUACCCAAGCAACCUAUUGCAAUGCCUGACCACUCUUUCAAUGCAGAAUUAAUUUCCAAUAUCCAAUCUACUUCUUUCUUAGUGCAACUUGAGGACAUUUUCCCUUGCUCUGUCUCCUUUCAGACCCUUCAUCAGCUCUGUUGCCCUUCUCUGGACACGCUUCUGCACCUCAAUACUCCCUUGCAAUGAGGAGGUAGAACUGAACACAGAAAUUGCGAUGUAGCCUCACCAAUGGUGACCACACCAUUUCUGACAGAGGACAGGAUACCAUUUGCCUUCUGGGUCACAUGGUAGCCAGCACACCUGAAGACAAGGCAUGUGAUUUGUCUUCUUUUUCAUCUUCUGAAAAUAUUUGGAACUGUCAUGCGAUAUGGUAUUUUGAAAAAAAAAAUCUCUGAAGAUGCUCCAUAUCCUGAAGUCAUAUACAAGUAUAAUACACUCUCCAGAAAUAAAAUAUGUCUCUACAAAUCAUCUUUUAAAGUGCAAAAUGUACAAACCUUCUUUUAAUCUUAAUUGAACCUUCAGAUUUCAGUAUUCAUAUUUAUUUAUUUAUUUCAGAUUUAUUUCACAUUUGAAAUAAAAUCUUACUGUUUUAUGGUUU